rnacentral:lncRNA from 1 species
GACGAAGAAGGUCCGAGGCUUUCCCUCCCCCCCGCUGGAUACUAAAAGUUUCUAGUAUAUUAUAAUAUAUGUAUGUUUAAAAAAUAGUGUAGUAGGAUGGAGACUCGUGAUGUGAAUAUUAUUAUUAUUUAUAUUUAAUCAGCAAGUUUCCAAAGUAGGUGAAUUACUAUUUUAACAAGGAAGCGCACCGGAUUUCACGGGCGCAGAAGCAAAAGAAAAAGGUCUCCACCGAGUCGUACUAUAGAGUUUUAUGGCAUUUAGCUGUAUGUAAUAAUAAUGACGGUUUUGAGAUGGAAUCUGUACUCGGAAAUUUUAAAACAAAAAAAUCACCCACUUCUUCCACAAUUUUGAUCAUAUAUAGACUCGUCCCUGACUGGAAAAUGUCGAAUGUGUAUUAUUGUUGUUAUGCAAGGGGAAUCGAAUUACAAUAGACCCUGUAGGGUAAUUUCGAUAAAAUAUUUCCAAAAAAUCAAUAUAUUCGAUUGCUCGUCAAUUUUUCUAUGAAAACCAACUUAAAUUAAUUUAAUUUAAAAAAAACUCCCGUUUUCGUAUACAUAGCUACGUACAUGAACCGUAUUACUGUUCUAAUAUUUAAAUUUUACUAUUGAAUAAUUCUAUAAAUUAAAUAAAAGGCACAUUUAAUAUUAUUAUUAUAAAAAAAUAUUCAUUAUCGCUUUUAACAUACAGUAUUUUUCGAUGGUCUAUUUUUUCAUUCGGACGAUCAUGUUUCGUGUACGACUUCCAUAAUACAAUUCACAUUAUGAUAAUGUAUCUGAAAUCACUAACAUGAAAACGCAAUAAAUUUGUCCAUCAUCUAUUACAUUUAUAUCUUGGACCUUUAUAUAUUAAAUUUAUAUGCUCUAAAAAACAUUAAAUACAUAGCAUGCAGGUGUUCACAAAAAAUAGCAAAAUAUGCUCUUAACAUAGGGUCAAAACAAAAAAAAAAAACAAACAACAGCACGCUUUAAUUGUAUAUUUGUUAGCGUUAAUGUAUUGAGUUCCGAAUGAAGAAGAACGGACAAUGUAUAGAUUUACAGUUAAUGUAUUGAAUGAAUACAAAAAUAUAUAGCUACUUCAACUUGUUGUUCUACAUACUAAGUAGAUAUUUUGUAAACUUACAAUAACGAUUUAGUUAAUGUAUGUAAAAUUAUUAUUACAUCCACUCAUAAAAUAUUAAUAUUCACUUUGAAAAAGUUUAUGCUGAUUUGUACAACGUCAACUUAUUAGAAGUAUUAAAUUAUUAAAAUAUUAAGAAAUUACAAAUUUAAAAAAAAAAAAAAAAAUGGUAAUAUAACGCCCUACAUUAUCAUAUGAUUUUUAUUUAUUAGUACACAAUUGCUUAAAUUAUAUAAAUUAACAAAAAUCCAAUCGGCACUCUAUAAAUUAACUAGUAAAACCGUUUAGUUCACACAUUAACGAGCAUAUUUAGUAAUUUUAUGGAAUAACUAGUUAUUUGUAAUAAAAUAACGUGUUUCAUACAUUACCGCUAACAUAUAUACAUAAUAUUGUAUAGUUGACACACUGAACACCUAAUCACCGCCAAAAAAAAUAAAAAAUAAACUUUUAUAAGUGAUUAUUCCUACUAAAUACCAUCACGUAAUUGCUAUGAAAUAAGCAUUUAAUAAACUGAUCACCGCCCCUCAUAGAGUUAAAAUAGAAAAUUCUUUAAAAAAGUAACGUCACAGCUGCAUACAAUUUUAUUAACAGACACGGGAAUCGAGCUCUUUUAUACUUGAAUAAAACAUAAAAUAAGAAACCUAUUCAAUUCAAUAUAAUAUUAUAAUGCGUGUUAUACAUUUAUAAUACAAAAUCUACCCACAGAUUUAUCAUAGAAGAGAAUUACUCAAUGAUAUCCGCUGUUAUACUUAUUUCCUGAUAAAUAUGCAACAGUUUAAGCCUGCAUAAGCAUCCAGGCACAUUUGUUUUGUAACUAGAAAUCAAUGAUAAAAGACACGGUCGAACCAUCAAAACGAAAUGAUAACAUCAGAAACCAUGAGUCAGUUUGGCCGUAGAUAACAAAAACUAUUUUCAUAUCAAUGGAUUUGACCAUGUUAUUAUAUUAUUAACUAUAGAUACUUCAUGAAAAGAAAUUUCGAAAUAAUUGUAAAAACACUAAAAACAAAUAACAAUGUACACAUACAAUUAUAAAGCCCACGGGGAGGGGGAACGAAUGCCACCUUCACUCACCACAAGCCGCCACUGAUGCGUAAAAAUAUCGCAAACGCACAUAUUUUGUACACUUUCCAUCCGCCAAACGUAUUAUUAUUUGCCAAUCGUAACUACAUCCAGUGACAUGUUGAUAAUGUUUUUUUUAGAGUCCAGGGUCCGUUCGAAAUUUAGAUGGGUGGGUAAUACUGAGAGACGGCUGUAUAUUUUAAUCGUAUGUAAUAAUAUUUGAAAAUGAAUCAAAUUAUUAUAAAUAAAACGUUUGACGAAAAAGAAAAUAUAUAUACGUUAUAAUAUCGCAGGUUCAGAUGUUGGUAGGUUUAUUCAAAUAAAAAGAGAAGGUAUUCUAUACAAAUCUUCACUCCUUUUUUAAUAACAUAAGCCACAUAAAGCGACUAAGUUAAAUUUUUAAACAAAUACAAAUUUUAAAAACCAACGCUCAACUCUAUUAAGUACCUAUACGUUUGGUAUAGGAAAUUGUUAACAGUUUCAAAACGCAUCGAAUAAAUACUUGCAAUUUGCGUAGGUAUUGUUGUAAAAUUGUGUAAAACAAUAAUAAUAUUGUCGUUAUAUUUUCGAAAUUGUUGUAUUAUUUGAGACGAAAAUUAAAAUUAUUAUCACGUACCCCUGGUUUUCGGAAACAUUCUGUCUCUUUUUGGUUUUUCUAUACCUACCUAUAAUAGUAAGGUUGGGUUACGAACUCGGUGCUAUAGGUGCAGUAGUAAUUAUUUAAGUUUUUUUUUUUUUUUUCUCUAAAUUUUAUCAACAAUGCAUUGUUUAUUCGUUAUUACUAUUAAGAUACCUACCAAUGUUGUUUGUCCAACUGUGUGUCGUCUGCUUUUAAAAACUGUAUCAUCUUUCAUAACGAUUAUUAAAAUAAAUCAGUAUAACAUCGAGUUACGUUUGCUAAAUCAUAUAUGUAUUAAUAAAUUACAUUAUAUCACGUAAUAUUCAUAAUAAUUCAUAUUUUACUCACAGGUUUUUUUUUUUUU